rnacentral:tRNA from 1 species
GUCCCCGUAGCUCAGUUGGAUAGAGCGACUGCCUCCUAAGCAGUAGGUCGUGCGUUCGAAUCGCGCCGGGGACGCCA